rnacentral:misc_RNA from 1 species
GAUGAAGAACGUAGCGAAAUGCGAUACGUAAUGUGAAUUGCAGAUCUCUCAGUGAACCAUCGAAUUUUUGAACGCACAUAGCGCCCGCCGGUCAUUCCGGCGGGCAUGCCUGUCCGAGCGUCGAUGACGCCGCUCGAGCCCCCGUGCUCGGUGUUGGGGCGCUAGGUCUCCCAGAGGCCUAGGCCCCCAAGUAGCAGUGCGCGGUCCGGCUGCGGGCCCCGGGUACCGUAACUUCACUGUUGAGAUGCCCUGGGAGCCGCUGGCGGGGUCAGCCGUAAAACCCCCGACAUAGGCCUUCCUGUCCGCCCCCGGCGGGGAGGGAGACCGCCUAAUGUUGACCUCGGAUCAGGUAGGACUACCCGCUGAACUUAAGCAUAUCAAUAAGCGGAGGA